GUUUUCUGCACUACCAUCCUGAACAUGACUGAUGCCUCUCAUCUCUGAAGCUAAGCUGGGUUGGGCCUGGUUAGUACUUGGAAGGGAGACAGUCUGGGAAUGUCAGGUGCUUUAGCUA
rnacentral:rRNA from 1 species